rnacentral:rRNA from 1 species
UACGGGGGGGGCAAGCGUUGUUCGGAAUUACUGGGCGUAAAGGGCUCGUAGGCGGCCAACUAAGUCAGACGUGAAAUCCCUCGGCUUAACCGGGGAACUGCGUCUGAUACUGGAUGGCUAGAGUGUGGGAGAGGGAUGCGGAAUUCCAGGUGUAGCGGUGAAAUGCGUAGAUAUCUGGAGGAACACCGGCGGUGUAGACGGCUUGCUAGACCAUAACUGACGCUGAGGCACGAAAGCGUGGGUAGCAAACAGG